ensembl:lncRNA
GGGGGAUAAUGGGGUAUAAUGGGGGAUAAUGGGGGUAUAAUGGGGGAUAAUGGGGUAUAAUGGGGUAUAAUGGGGUUACAGUGGGGAUAUGGGGGGAGUAUGGGGAUAUAAUGGGUUCAUAAUGGGGAUGUGGGGGUAUGGGGCCAUAUGGGGCCAUGGGGCCAUACGGGGAUAUAGAGCCAUGUAGGGCCAUAUGGGGCCAUGGGAAACGAGGCCAUAUGGGGCCCUAUGGGGAUAUGGGGCCCUAUGGGAUCCUAUGGGUUCUUAUGGGGCCCUAUGGGAUCCUAUGGGGCCAUAUGGUUUCCUAUAGGGCCAUAUGGGGCCCUAUGGGAUCCUGUGGGGCCCUAUGGGGCUAUAUAGGGAUAUGGGGCCCUAUGGGAUCCUAUGGGUUCUUAUGGGGCCCUAUGGUUUCCUAUGGGGCCAUAUGGGGCCCUAUGGGAUCCUAUGGGUUCUUAUGGGGCCAUAUGGUUUCCUAUGGGGCCAUAUGGGGCCCUAUGGGGCCCUAUGAGGCCCUAUGGGGCAAUAUAGGGAUACGGGGCCCCAUGGGAUCCUAUGGGUUCUUAUGGGGCCUUAUGGGGAUAUGGGGCAUUAUGGGAUUCUAUGGGGCCUUAUGGGGCCAUAUAGGGAUAUUGGACCCUAUGGAUUCCUAUGGGGCCGUAUGGGAUCCUAUGGGUUCCUAUGGGGCCGUAUGGGGCUGUAUGGGGAUAUGGGGCCCUAUGGGUUCAUAUGAGGCCGUAUGGGGCCAUAUGGGGUCCUAUGGGGAUAUGGGGCCCUAUCAGAUCCUAUGGGGCCUUAUGGGGCCGUAUGGGUCCAUAUGGGGUUACAGGGCCCUAUGGGUUCGUAUGAGGCCGUAUGGGGCCAUAUGGGGCUGUAUGGGGAUAUGGGGUCCUAUGGGUUCAUAUGAGGCCGUAUGGGGCCGUAUGGGGUUGUAUGGGGAUAUGGGGCCCUAUGGGUUCCUAUGAGGCUGUAUGGGGCCAUAUGGGGCUGUAUGGGGAUAUGGGGCCAUAUGGGAUCCUAUGGGUUCCUAUGGGGCCCUAUGGGGCUGUAUGGGGAUAUGGGGCCCUAUGGGUUCAUAUGGGAUCCUGUGGGGCCACAUGGGGUCGUAUGGGGAUAUGGGGCCCUAUGGAUUCCUAUGAGGCCGUAUGCGGCCAUAUGGGGCACUAUGGGGCUAUGGGGCCAUAUGGGAUCCUAUGGGUUCCUAUGGGGCCUUAUGGGGCCCUAUGUGGAUAUGGGGUCCUGUGGGUUCAUAUGGGGUCCUGUGGGGCCGUAUGGGAUCCUAUGGGGAUAUGGGGCCCUAUGGGAUCCUAUGGGGCCGUAUGUGGCCAUAUGGGAUCCUAUGGGGAUAUGGGGCCCUAUGGGAUCCUAUGGGGACCUAUGGGAUUCUAUGGGGCUGUAUGGGGCUAUGGGGCCCUAUGGGAUCCUAUGGGAUCCUGUGGGUUCCUAUGGGAUCCUAUGGGGAUAUGGAGCCCUAUGGGAUCCUAUGGGGCCUUAUGGGGUCCUAUAGGGCCUUAUGGGGUCCUAUGGGGCUAUGGGGCCCUAUGGGAUCCGAUGGGGCCGUAUGUGGCCAUAUGGGAUCCUAUGGGGAUAUGGGGCCCUAUCAGAUCCUAUGGGGACCUAUGGGAUUCUAUGGGGCCAUAUGGGGCUAUGGGGCCCUAUGGGAUCCUAUGGGGCCGUAUGGGGUCCUAUAGGGCCUUAUGGGGUCCUAUGGGGCUAUGGGGCCCUAUGGGAUCCUAUGGGGCCGUAUGUGGCCAUAUGGGAUCCUAUGGGGCUAUGGGGCCCUAUGGGAUCCUAUGGGGCCGUAUGGGGCCAUAUGGG